CUCUUCAGAAUCAUAAAACAUUAUAACAUACUGACUUUAGAUAGCAGUGCUGAUAAAUUAUUCAUGUAAAUCUUGUCAUUAAAACUACAUUUUUACCAGUCUUAUUGUAGAAGACUAGACAUGGUAUUCCAUGGUUAAACAUCAAAUAAGUUUUACAUUUAGUUUCAUUCUACUAAAAGUAAAAUAAAAUCAUCUAUGUUUUGUAUAUAAAAUACCUUGUGGUUGUAAAACAAUGUUUUGUUGUGUAAUGUUAUCCUCAAACCUUGCUUAUAUCUCCCACAGUGGGGGACUGAUUCAUAGUUUUUGUCGAUCCAACAUCACUUUACCGGUAGAUGGACUCAAAAAUGUUAACCAUACUAUACUGUCAUUUGGAUUCUAUCAUUUCUGCCAG
rnacentral:lncRNA from 1 species